rnacentral:rRNA from 1 species
GACAGAGGGUGCAAACGUUGUUCGGAAUUACUGGGCGUAAAGCGCGUGUAGGCGGCUCGGAAAGUCGGGUGUGAAAGCCCUGGGCUCAACCCAGGAAGUGCACUCGAAACUCCCGAGCUCGAGUCCCGGAGAGGAAGGUGGAAUUCUCGGUGUAGAGGUGAAAUUCGUAGAUAUCGAGAGGAACAUCGGUGGCGAAGGCGGCCUUCUGGACGGUGACUGACGCUGAGACGCGAAAGCGUGGGGAGCAAACAGG